rnacentral:rRNA from 1 species
CUACGUAGGUGGCAAGCGUUGUCCGGAUUUAUUGGGCGUAAAGCGAGCGCAGGCGGUUUCUUAAGUCUGAUGUGAAAGCCCCCGGCUCAACCGGGGAGGGUCAUUGGAAACUGGGAAACUUGAGUGCAGAAGAGGAGAGUGGAAUUCCAUGUGUAGCGGUGAAAUGCGUAGAUAUAUGGAGGAACACCAGUGGCGAAGGCGGCUCUCUGGUCUGUAACUGACGCUGAGGCUCGAAAGCGUGGGGAGCAAACAGGAUUAGAUACCCUGGUAGUCCACGCCGUAAACGAUGAGUGCUAAGUGUUGGAGGGUUUCCGCCCUUCAGUGCUGCAGCUAACGCAUUAAGCACUCCGCCUGGGGAGUACGACCGCAAGGUUGAAACUCAAAUGAAUUGACGGGG